CCCAUAAUAUAAUGAUUGGCAUCAAUUAUUAUUGAAAACUCCGGUGGAUAAAGAUGGGCACGCGCAAGAUUAGUUAGUUGGUGAGGUAACGGCUCACCAAGACUGCGAUCUUUAGGGGGCCUGAGAGGGUGAUCCCCCACACUGGUACUGAGACACGGACCAGACUCCUACGGGAGGCAGCAGUGAGGAAUAUUGGACAAUGGGUGAAAGCCUGAUCCAGCCAUCCCGCGUGAAGGAUUAAGGACCUACGGUUUGUAAACUUCUUUUAUAUAGGGAUAAACCUAUCUACGUGUAGAUAGCUGAAGGUACUAUAUGAAUAAGCACCGGCUAACUCCGUGCCAGCAGCCGCGGUAAU
rnacentral:rRNA from 1 species